rnacentral:rRNA from 1 species
AUUGAACGCUGGCGGCAGGCCUAACACAUGCAAGUCGAGCGGCAGCGGGAAAGUAGCUUGCUACUUUUGCCGGCGAGCGGCGGACGGGGGAGUAAUGCCUGGGAAAUUGCCCAGUCGAGGGGGAUAACAGUUGGAAACGACUGCUAACACCGCAUACGCCCUACGGGAGAAAGCAGGGGACCUUCGGGCCUUGCGCGAUUGGAUAUGCCCAGGUGGGAUUAGCUAGUUGGUGAGGUAAUGGCUCACCAAGGCGACGAUCCCUAGCUGGUCUGAGAGGAUGAUCAGCCACACUGGAACUGAGACACGGUCCAGACUCCUACGGGAGGCAGCAGUGGGGAAUAUUGCACAAUGGGGGAAACCCUGAUGCAGCCAUGCCGCGUGUGUGAAGAAGGCCUUCGGGUUGUAAAGCACAUUCAGCGAGGAGGAAAGGUUGAUGCCUAAUACGUAUCAACUGUGACGUUACUCGCAGAAGAAGCACCGGCUAACUCCGUGCCAGCAGCCGCCGUAAUAC